GCAUCGGUAGUGCAACGGAUAGAGCACGCGCUCCCGAAAAGAUUGAGGUGUGGGUUCUAGUCCCACCUGACGCG